rnacentral:rRNA from 1 species
CAAUAGCGUAUAUUAAAGUUGUUGCAGUUAAAAAGCUCGUAGUUGGAUUUCUGGUGGGAGCGAUCGGUCUGGCGCUUAGCGCGAGUACUUGCAUCGUCUCCGGCCAUCCUUGGGGAGAGUCUGUCUGGCAUUAGGUUGUCGGGCAGAGGAUCCUCAUCGUUUACUGUGAAAAAAUUAGAGUGUUCAAAGCAGGCUUAUACCGUUGAAUAUAUUAGCAUGGAAUAAUAAGAUAGGACUUUGGUACUAUUUUGUUGGUUUGCGCACCAAAGUAAUGAUUAAUAGGGACAGUUGGGGGUAUUCGUAUUCCGUUGUCAGAGGUGAAAUUCUUGGAUUUACGGAAGACGAACUACUGCGAAAGCAUUUACCAAGGAUGUUUUCAUUAA